rnacentral:rRNA from 1 species
GACGAACGCUGGCGGCGUGCCUAACACAUGCAAGUCGAACGGAACUGUUUUGAAAGAUUUCUUCGGAAUGAAUUUGAUUUAGUUUAGUGGCGGACGGGUGAGUAACGCGUGAGUAACCUGCCUUCAAGAGGGGGAUAACAUUCUGAAAAGAAUGCUAAUACCGCAUGACAUAUCGGAACCACAUGGUUUUGAUAUCAAAGAUUUUAUCGCUUGAAGAUGGACUCGCGUCCGAUUAGUUAGUUGGUGAGGUAACGGCUCACCAAGACCGCGAUCGGUAGCCGGACUGAGAGGUUGAACGGCCACAUUGGGACUGAGACACGGCCCAGACUCCUACGGGAGGCAGCAGUGGGGGAUAUUGCGCAAUGGGGGCAACCCUGACGCAGCAACGCCGCGUGAAGGAUGAAGGUUUUCGGAUUGUAAACUUCUUUUAUUAAGGACGAAAAAUGACGGUACUUAAUGAAUAAGCUCCGGCUAACUA